GCCCAAGAGAUCGGGAUAACACCUGGAAACAGAUGCUAAUACCGGAUAACAACAGAUGAUGCCUAUCAACUGUUUAAAAGAUGGUUCUGCUAUCACUCUUGGAUGGACCUGCGGUGCAUUAGCUAGUUGGUAGGGUAACGGCCUACCAAGGCGAUGAUGCAUAGCCGAGUUGAGAGACUGAUCCGGCCACUAGUUGGGACUGAGACAGGCCCAAACUCCUACGGGAGGCAGCAGC
rnacentral:rRNA from 1 species